rfam:Angiostrongylus cantonensis strain Taiwan genome assembly, scaffold: ACAC_contig0012864
AUCUCCAUAGCUCAGAGGCAGAGUGUCUGUCUCGUGAACAGAAAGUGUGCGGUUCAAAUCCCGCAUGGUUACA